rnacentral:rRNA from 1 species
GACGAACGCUGGCGGCGUGCCUAAUACAUGCAAGUCGAGCGGAGCGGCGGACGGGUGAGUAAUGCCAAGGAAUCUGCCUGGUAGUGGUAGUGAACGUCAGGAAACGGGCGCUAAUACCGCAUACUAUCAGAUGAGCCUAGGGCGGAAUAGCUAGGUGGUGGGGUAAGGGCCAACAAAGGCGACGAUCCGUAACUGGUCUGAGAGGAUGAUCAGUAACACGGGAACUGAGACACGGUCCAGACUCCUACGGGAGGCAGCAGGGGGGAAUAUUGGACAAUGGGCGAAAGCCUGAUCCAGCCAUGCCGCGUGUGUGAAGAAGGUCUUCGGAGUGUAAAGCACUUUAAGUUGGGAGGCGUUACCAACAGAAUAAGCACCGGCUAACUUCGUGCCAGCAGACGCGGUAAUAC